CAUCGAUCGGUUUCACUUCAAAUCAACACAACUGGUACCUCUAAACUGUUAUUAAACUGAAGACAUUUAUUUUGUACGAUAAUUGUGUCAAGAACAUUAUUACCUGUGCGUCCGUAUUUUUAAGUAAUCGUUAUAAGCCUAUAUGUUUUCAUAAAUUUGAAUCCAGUUCCAAAAGUUGUAGUAUCUCACAGCGUGUUUCAAAGAUAUUUAUUAAUCAUUGCGAUUACAAAUGGUUUACAUUUCUUUUCCCGCAUCGUGAUCCUUUUUGUAGCUAAUUCCUCUCGAGUGCUGGAAGUUGUGGGUAAAACCACGGAUGGGUCAAAACAUUUAUUAUCAAUUAAGCUUUUUAAAAGUAAAAGUUAUCAUGUAGUUUUUCGUAAAUAGUGUAUGUACUUCAU
rnacentral:lncRNA from 1 species